rnacentral:rRNA from 1 species
UGGGGAAUAUUGCACAAUGGGCGAAAGCCUGAUGCAGCGACGCCGCGUGAGGGAUGACGGCCUUCGGGUUGUAAACCUCUUUCAGCAGGGAAGAAGCGAAAGUGACGGUACCUGCAGAGGAAGCGCCGGCUAACUACGUGCCAGCAGCCGCGGUAAUACGUAGGGCGCAAGCGUUGUCCGGAAUUAUUGGGCGUAAAGAGCUCGUAGGCGGUUAGUCGCGUCUGCUGUGAAAACUCGAGGCUCAACCUCGGGCUUGCAGUGGGUACGGGCUGACUAGAGUGCGGUAGGGGUGACUGGAAUUCCUGGUGUGGCGGUGGAAUGCGCAGAUAUCAGGAGGAACACCGAUGGCGAAGGCAGGUCACUGGGCCGCAACUGACGCUGAGGAGCGAAAGCAUGGGGAGCGAACAGGAUUAGAUACCCUGGUAGUCCAUGCCGUAAACGUUGGGCACUAGGUGUGGGGUCCAUUUCCACGGAUUCCGUGCCGCAGCAAACGCAUUAAGUGCCCCGCCUGGGGAGUACGGCCGCAAGGCUAAAACUUAAAGGAAUUG